UCAUGGAUGAAAGUCUGUUUGUGCUGCUUCUGCUGUCAGGGCUCUCCUGCAGCAGUUCUGCUGUUUCUCGUCAGUAUAACUAUAUAAACCUGCGUAUGUCGUGGUCAGAUGCUCAGAGUUACUGCAGAGAGAGAUUCACAGAUCUGGCUACUGUAGACACCAUGGAUGAUGUGAAGAGGCUGAUAAAUACUGUAGAUGCUGGAUACAAUGGAUCAGUGUGGAUUGGACUGAAGAGAGGGACACAGAAAUGCUGGGGUUGGUCUAAUAGAGAAGAUACACUCCCACAGCACACCAACUGGAAGUACAGACAUCUAAAAGAUGAAGAAGAAUGUGGCGAUUUUGCUAUUGGAGUCUGGCAGAGUUAUCCAUGCUCAUCGAAUUUACCCUUUGUUUGCUAUAGUGGUAAGUUAUAUCUGUGUUAAAAUUGAAGAACUGGACUCAAGCUCAGAGCUUCUGCAGAAGGCAUUACACAGACCUGGUCAACAUCCGCAACUCUAAGGAACACAAGCAGCUCAAAAGUGUAACUCCAUUAGGAUCAUGGAUCUGGACUGGUCUCUAUCGGAAUUCUUGGGAAUGGUCUGACAAAUUGAGUCGCUUCUUCAGAUACUGGGCAGCAGGUCAACCUUCCCAGAGUGCAGGAUCUGAAGACUGCGUCAGCAUGUCACGAAACAAUUCUGGGAAAUGGUUUGUUGAUAAUUGUUAUCAACAGCGUCCGUUUAUCUGCUAUGACUGUGAGUUUCACAUUAAUAAUAACACUUUUUGCAUA
ensembl:processed_transcript